ACGCACGCUGGCGGCGUGCUUCACCCCUGCCAGUCGAACGCAAAGAGGGAAAGAGCUUGCUCUUUCCGGAAUUGAGUGGCAAACGGGUGAGUAACACGUAAACAACCUGCCUUCAGGAUGGGGACAACAGACGGAAACGACUGCUAAUACCGAAUAAGUUCCAAGAGCCGCAUGGCCCAUGGAAGAAAAGGUGGCCUCUACCUGUAAGCUAUCGCCUGAAGAGGGGUUUGCGUCUGAUAGCUGGUUGGAGGGGUAACGGCCCACCAAGGCGACGAUCAGUAGCCGGUCUGAGAGGAUGAACGGCCACACUGGAACUGAGACACGGUCCAGACUCCUACGGGAGGCAGCAGUGGGGAAUCUUCCGCAAUGGGCGAAAGCCUGACGGAGCAACGCCGCGUGAGUGAUGACGGCCUUCGGGUUGUAAAACUCUGUGAUCCGGGACGAAAAGGCAGAGUGCGAAGAACAAACUGCAUUGACGGUACCGGAAAAGCAAGCCACGGCUAACUACGUG
rnacentral:rRNA from 1 species